AUCCGGAGUACCACGGGGCACGAGGAACCUUGUGGGAAGCAGGGGGGACCACCCUCCAAGGCGAAAUACUGAUAUGGACCGAUAGCGCAUAGUACCGUGAGGGAAAGGUGAAAAGAACCCCGGGAGGGGAAUGAAAGAGAACCUGAAACCGUAUGUCUACAAGCAGUCGAAGCACCGUAUGAGUGCGACGGCGUGCCUAUUGAAGAAUGAACCGGCGAGUUAUUUCAUCCGGCGAGGUUAAGCGGAAAACGCGGAGCCGAAGCGAAAGCGAGUCUGAACAGGGCGACAAGUCGGAUGGAAUAGACCCGAAACCACAGUGAUCUAUCCAUGCCCAGGUUGAAGCACAGGUAAAAAUGUGUGGAGGACCGAACCAGUGAGCGUUGAAAAGCUUUUGGAUGAGGUGUGGAUAGGGGUGAAAUGCCAAUCGAACGUGGAGAUAGCUGGUUCUCCCCGAAAUAGCUUUAGGGCUAGCCUCAUGGCAAGAGUGCAGGCGGUAGAGCACUGAACAGGGUAGGGGCCUAUCCGGCUACCGAACCUAAUCAAACUACGAAUGGCUGUACUUAUCCAUGGGAGUCAGACUGCGAGUGAUAAGACCCGUAGUCAAGAGGGAAACAGCCCAGACCAACAGCUAAGGUCCCCAAUGCCGUACUAAGUGGUAAAGGAUGUGGAGUUUCGAAAACAACCAGGAUGUUGGCUUAGAAGCAGCCACCAUUAAAAGAGUGCGUAAUAGCUCACUGGUCGAGAGACUCUGCGCCGAAGAUGACCGGGGCUAAAGUACGGAACCGAAGCUUUGGCAUGUAUGUAAAUACAUGGGUAGGGGAGCGUUCCUGCAUGGGCGAAGCCUGACCGGAAGGACAGGUGGACAGGCAGGAAGUGAGAAUGCCGGUAUGAGUAGCGAAAAGAAAGGUGAGAAUCCUUUCCACCGAAAGCCUAAGGGUUCCUGGGCAACGAUCGUCGACCCAGGGUAAGUCGGGACCUAAUCCGAGGCGAAGACGCAUAGGAGAUGGACAACAGGUUGAAAUUCCUGUACCGACGUCGUCUGUUUGAGCGAUGGAGUGACACAAGAAGGAAAGUUCGCAUGCGAUUGGAAGAGCAUGUCUAAGCAGGUAGGUUGAAUACCAGGCAAAUCCGGUAUUCUAAAAGCCGAGAAGUGAUAGGGAGCCUGUAGCAAUACAGGUGAAGGAACCGGGACUCGAUUGUCAAGAAAAGCUUCUAGUGAGGACGACGCCGCCCGUACCAAAACCGACACAGGUAGGCAAGAAGAGAAUUCUAAGGUGCGCGGGAAAACCCUCGUUAAGGAACUCGGCAAAAUGUAUCCGUAACUUCGGGAAAAGGAUAACCCAGAGUACGUGAAGGAAAGAAACAUCCGGAGCGGGAAUGGGUGGCACAAGAGAGGCCCAAGCGACUGUUUACCACAAACACAGGCGUCUGCUAAAGAGAAAUCUGAUGUAUAGAUGCUGACACCUGCCCGGUGCUGGAAGGUUAAGAGGACGUGUUAGCCGCAAGGCGAAGCAGAGAAUUGAAGCCCCAGUAAACGGCGGCCGUAACUAUAACGGUCCUAAGGUAGCGAAAUUCCUUGUCGGGUAAGUUCCGACCCGCACGAAAGGUGUAACGACUUGCGCACUGUCUCAACGAGGGACCCGGUGAAAUUGAAGUACCUGUGAAGAUGCAGGUUACCCGCGACUGGACAGAAAGACCCCAUGGAGCUUUACUGUAACCUGAGAUUGAAUUUUGGUAGAAGAUGUACAGGAUAGUUGGGAGACGUAGAAGCGCGCACGCCAGUGUACGCAGAGUCGAUGGUGGGAUACCAACCUUGUUUUAUUGAAAUUCUAACGAGAGCCGUAACGAGGCUGCGGACAGUCUCAGGCGGGCAGUUUGACUGGGGCGGUCGCCUCCGAAAGAGCAACGGAGGCGCCCAAAGGUUCCCUCAGCGCGGACGGAAACCGCGCGAAGAGUGUAAAGGCAGAAGGGAGCUUGACUGCGAGACGGACAGGUCGAGCAGGGACGAAAGUCGGGCUUAGUGAUCCGGUGGUAGAGAGUGGAAUUGCCAUCGCUCAACGGAUAAAAGCUACCCUGGGGAUAACAGGCUAAUCUCUCCCAAGAGUCCAUAUCGACGGGGAGGUUUGGCACCUCGAUGUCGGCUCAUCACAUCCUGGGGCUGAAGUAGGUCCCAAGG
rnacentral:rRNA from 1 species